rnacentral:rRNA from 1 species
GAUGAACGCUGGCGGCGUGCCUAAUACAUGCAAGUCGAGCGAACAGACGAGGAGCUUGCUCCUCUGACGUUAGCGGCGGACGGGUGAGUAACACGUGGAUAACCGACCUAUAAGACUGGGAUAACUUCGGGAAACCGGAGCUAAUACCGGAUAAUAUAUUGAACCGCAUGGUUCAAUAGUGAAAGACGGUUUUGCUGUCACUUAUAGAUGGAUCCGCGCCGCAUUAGCUAGUUGGUAAGGUAACGGCUUACCAAGGCAACGAUGCGUAGCCGACCUGAGAGGGUGAUCGGCCACACUGGAACUGAGACACGGUCCAGACUCCUACGGGAGGCAGCAGUAGGGAAUCUUCCGCAAUGGGCGAAAGCCUGACGGAGCAACGCCGCGUGAGUGAUGAAGGUCUUCGGAUCGUAAAACUCUGUUAUUAGGGAAGAACAAAUGUGUAAGUAACUAUGCACGUCUUGACGGUACCUAAUCAGAAAGCCACGGCUAACUACUUG